rnacentral:rRNA from 1 species
CGUGUGGUUCUAUUUUGUUGGUUAUGGGACCGCCGUAAUGAUUAAUAGGGACAGUCGGGGGCAUCAGUAUUCAAUUGUCAGAGGUGAAAUUCUUGGAUUUAUUGAAGACUAACUACUGCGAAGGCAUUUGCCAAGGAUGUUUUCAUUAAUCAGGAACGAAAGUUAGGGGAUCGAAGACGAUCAGAUACCGUCGUAGUCUUAACCAUAAACUAUGCCGACUAGGGAUCGGGCGAUGUUACUUUUUGACUCGCUCGGCACCUUACGAGAAAUCGAAGUUUGUGGGUUCCUGGGGGAGUAUGGUGGCAACGCUGAAACUUAAAGAAAUUGACGGAAGGGCACCACCAGGGGUGGAGCCUGCGGCUUAAUUUGACUCAACACGGGGAAACUCACCAGGUCCAGACACAAUGAGGAUUGACAGAUUGAGAGCUCUUUCUUGAUUUUGUGGGUGGUGGUGCAUGGCCGUUCUUAGUUGGUGGAGUGAUUUGUCUGCUUAAUUGCGAUAACGAACGAGACCUUAACCUGCUAAAUAGCCCGUGUUGCUUCUGCAGCACGCCGGCUUCUUAGAGGGACUAUCGGCUCAAGCCGAUGGAAGUUUGAGGCAAUAACAGGUCUGUGAUGCCCUUAGAUGUUCUGGGCCGCACGCGCGCGACACUGACAGGGCCAGCGAGUUCUCCCUUGUCCGAAAGGACCGGGUAAUCUUGUUAAACUCUGUCGUGC